GCCGGUGUGGCGGAAUUGGCAGACGCGACGGACUCAAAAUCCGUUUCCAGCAAUGGAGUGGGGGUUCAAGUCCCUUCACCGGCACCA
rnacentral:tRNA from 3 species